AUGUUGUUCACCAUGGCGGACGACAACUCGGAAAUAAAAAGUGUUGGAUCCGAUGUUGAUCGAAGAAUUGCUUUCUUGGUAGUCGUCGUUUCCAUAGUUUUCUUUCGCAUUUCAAACUUGGUGACUUCCAAGUACAUUGAAACUCCUCCCAGAGCCGCUAGUGACCCGUGGAGAUGGAGAAACUUGUUUGUGUCCUGGAUCCAUGCAAUCUUAUGUGGCUCUUGGGAUAUAAUGUGCUUUACUGCAUAUCCCGAGAUGUUGGAGGACCUCGAUGGACACAUGAAUUACUUCACUUAUACACUGGUAGCCUUCUCUACAGCUCUAUAGAAACGGUCAGACUGAAAUCUACAUGGUCGAUACCUUUAGCGAGCUAGGAAAAAUCACGGACUGCACGAAAUAAUCAUGAUGAUGUCAGAUUCAAAUUCCCAUUGGAGAAGAUUUGACUGUUUCUUUUAACUAACUUACUGAUGUACAUUAAAGAUAUUUCAUUUACGACGCGUUGGAUAUGUUCUUCAAUAAUCGACUGUUGCAAGACUGGGGAGUUACUCUGCAUCAUAUAAUUGUACUUAUAUGCUUUAUCUACAGCAUUUGGACAAGUUACGCAACAGCUAUAGUCUGUGUUGCCUUGCUGGUAGAAGUGAAUGGAGUUUUCUUACAUGCCAGGAAACUAAUGCAGAUCUUCCAGUUUAGCUUUGAACACAAAAUAUACGUUCUGAACAAAUACAUAAACUUGAUAACUUUUGUCAUCUUUCGAGGUGGUCCUAUAAGCAGGGUAUUUUAUGAAUUUGCCUACAAAUGUCCCGCAUUCAACCUACCUUUACGCGGGGUCUUUAUAUUCUUAACAGUGGCCAUGGCGUGUAUAAAUGUGAUUCUGUUUUGGCGCCUUUGUAAAAGUGACGUUUUGUUGACGUCAAGGCGUAAAUAUGUAAAGGAAAACAGUUAAGAAACCGCUGCUUAUUACUACUAAGCCCAGAUUUGCCAAAUGAACAAAAUACUUUAUGUCAAUGUUUUUUUUUUCUCGCAAGAUAUGAGAAUAACAAUCGGACACUUCGCCAGCGAAGAUAAUUAUAUGCACGCACGUCGGAAAGUACUCUCCGACAAUUUUUCAAUUUUUUCUCACUGUUGAUAUCAUUACAGUGGUUAAUUAUUAUCUUCGUUAUUUGUUUAGCAGCCUUUUUAGUAUAUAUCUAAGUUACAUAAAGAUAUUUUGAAAUACAGGUUAUAGUUAUUGCUAUGAUACAUGUACAUAUGGUUCUAUACAUUAUAUUGUACUGAUUUCCAUUUACAGGUAUAUUUUAAAAUUGUCACAUAGAUAAUUUGAAAAUCCGGUUUAUUUUUUAUUUUUGAUACAAUAUUAUAUGACUCAUUACAUUAUAUAUUUACUAUUGCGUGAUAUCAAUUAAUAAUUAAGAUGUAAAAUACUGGUAUAACAAUCAUUUCAAUAUUUUAUGAAUGACAUGUAGAUAUUUUUAUAACCUAUGCUAUAUUUUUGAUACACUUUAAUCUCAAUAAAAAUGUAAAAUAACAGAAAAGCAAUUGCAUUUCAAUACAUAUAGUAUGAAUAACAUAUUUUGAAAACCAGUGUUCUACUGUUGUGCAUUUUAUUCCUAUUAUCGCACGAUAUUGAUUAAGAUGUUAUGUACUAAUUUUUAAGAUAAAAAAAUACUGCUCCAUAUUAGAGAGAUCAUUUUAGUUUUUCUGAAACCGGGUGCUUGUUUCGUGUGAUUCAAGUUUAUUUUUAUAUUUUUAAUGCAGGAAAAAAUUAGAUUAAUUAUAUUUUGAAGUUGCUUUUUUAUGAAAAGUUAAAGUAUGGAAUGUGACACUCAUGGACGAUAUUUUUUUAUUUUGUAUAUCUUUAUUUGUAUUUACCGUUUUUGAUUGUGAUAUUUACACCUUAAUCUUGAUUUGAUUUAAAGUCACGUGUUUAUACAAUUACGGUGCUUUUAUGUACAAUUAACGGUUAUUUGUUUUUCUAUAAAAUAAAACAGAUACGUUUAUGUAUUGUUUGCUAUACGUGUAUGUAUUAUCAGGGUUAACAAAACAAGUGUUUUAUUUUAAAUCUGUGUUAUCGUUAAUAUAUUUUAUAUAUUUUAUAUACAUGUGUAUGUUCAAUGGCCGAUACAUAUAUUAUGUCCAAAUGUCGCCACUGUCUUGCAGUUAGUUUUCGCAUGCCACAUAGUUUAUAAGCAUGGUUCGUUAACUAUAAACUAUAGCGCUUAUUUGCUGCAUUUAUUUACACGUACAAAUACAUAUAAAGAUUCUUCAAACUUCUUUCUGAAAUAAAGCAAUUUACAUUUU
rnacentral:misc_RNA from 1 species